rnacentral:rRNA from 1 species
AUUGAACGCUGGCGGCAUGCCUUACACAUGCAAGUCGAACGGCAGCACGGGGCAACCUGGUGGCGAGUGGCGAACGGGUGAGUAAUGCAUCGGAACGUGCCAUUGAGUGGGGGAUAACGUAGCGAAAGUUGCGCUAAUACCGCAUAUUCUGUGAGCAGGAAAGCAGGGGACCGCAAGGCCUUGCGCUCUUUGAGCGGCCGAUGUCAGAUUAGCUAGUUGGUGAGGUAACGGCUUACCAAGGCGACGAUCUGUAGCGGGUCUGAGAGGAUGAUCCGCCACACUGGAACUGAGACACGGUCCAGACUCCUACGGGAGGCAGCAGUGGGGAAUUUUGGACAAUGGGCGCAAGCCUGAUCCAGCCAUGCCGCGUGAGUGAAGAAGGCCCUCGGGUUGUAAAGCUCUUUUGUCCGGAAAGAAAAGCAAUCGGUUAAUACCCGGUUGUUCUGACGGUACCGGAAGAAUAAGCACCGGCUAACUUCGUGCCAGC